CGCUUACCGUCGGAACGGCGGCCGAAAAUACCGGGCUUGAGGGCGUGAGGGGUCACUGGAACUCCUGGUGAAGCGGUGAAAUGCGUAGAUAUCAGGAGGAACGCCGGAGGCGAAAGCGAGUGACUGGCGCGUUCCUGACGCUGAGGUGCGAAAGCUAGGGGAGCAAACAGGAUUAGAUACCCUGGUAGUCCUAGCCGUAAACGAUGGACACUGAGUGGAGGAGGGCUUGCCUUUCUCUGCUGCAGCUAACGCGUUAAGUGUCCCGCCUGGGGAGUACGGCCGCAAGGUUAAAACUCAAAGGAAUUGACGGGGGCUCGCACAAGCGGUGGAGCAUGUGGUUCAAUUCGAUGCAACGCGAAGAACCUUACC
rnacentral:rRNA from 1 species